ACUUACAUAGGUCAACAGCUGCAUUUUCGACAUUUUUCCAAGUUUAACAACGUAGUCGAACUGAUGGUUGCAAACUGACUGACGGUCCCUUUAGUUUGCCAGGAAGGUGACGUGAUUUGAACGAUGCGUCAUUCCUGAUUAGAAAUGGUGCAACUAAGACUGUGUUUAAAACUUGUGGAAGGGUGUCGCAUAAACGGGCGUGAAAAUAUUGCAAAAAAAAAUCGUGAACGUGAAAUUAGAAAGAAAAUUCUCAUAUAUACCUGGCGGAGAUCACAUUUCAGCUCCAGAACUAAGCAAGUCGUGAGAAAUAUAAUCCGCAUCACGUAAUGCGAUCACACGAGUUUUGAGAUG